rnacentral:lncRNA from 1 species
AUCAAACGUGCUUGGUGACCUCUCCCAAUGUAAUCCCAAGGAAUAGGGGGUGAGGAGGAUGCCAAGGUGUGAUCCCAAAGCUAAUGCACAUGAUGAGAUAACAUGAGGGAUCUUAGGGUCAAAAUUGGGGUUUUACAGCUGCCCCUAUUUAAGGACAUUCUAACUGAGGAUGUGAAGGUUAAAUUCUCCAUAUCAACUCAGUAGAAUGGACUUAAAUAACAACAUAUAGAAA